rnacentral:rRNA from 1 species
UCUUGGGCGUAAGGGUGCGUAGGCGGCGCGGUAAGUCGGGUGUGAAAUCUCGGGGCUUAACUCCGAAACUGCAUUCGAUACUGCCGUGCUUGAGGACUGGAGAGGAGACUGGAAUUUACGGUGUAGCGGUGAAAUGCGUAGAUAUCGUAAGGAAGACCAGUGGCGAAGGCGGGUCUCUGGACAGUUCCUGACGCUGAGGCACGAAGGUCAGGGGAGCAAACGGGAUUAGAUACCCCGGUAGUCCUGACAGUAAACGGUGCACGUUUGGUGUGGGAGGAUUCGACCCCUUCUGCGCCGGAGCUAACGCGUUAAACGUGCCGCCUGGGGAGUACGGUCGCAAGAUUAAAACUCAAAGAAAUUGACGGGGGCCCGCACAAGCGGUGGAGUAUGUGGCUCAAUUCGAUGCAACGCGAAGAACCUUACCAGGCCUUGACAUGCAUCUCUAAGUUGGUGAAAGCCAGCGAAUCCCGCAAGGGAUAAUUUGCACAGGUGCUGCAUGGCUGUCGUCAGCUCGUGUCGUGAGAUGUUGGGUUAAGUCCCGCAACGAGCGCAACCCCUGUGAACUGUUGCCACGGAACCGAGAGGUUCCAGCACUCUGUUCAGACUGCCCCGCUCUAACGGGGAGGAAGGUG